rnacentral:rRNA from 2 species
GUGAACCUGCGGAGGGAUCAUUGCUGGAAGCGUCGCAAGACGCGCCCAGAUCACCCCUAUGUGAACUUAUAUUAUCGUUGCCUCGGUCAAGGCUGGGUCUCUCUGAGAUCCCCUCUCUGCGGUCCUCUCCUUCCUUCGGGAAGGGAGGGACGACAGGAGGAGCCGCCGGCCGUUGGCCCUUUACACUCUUGUCUCCAUCUGGAUUUCUUCUGAGUAUAAACAAACAAAUGAAUCAAAACUUUCAACAACGGAUCUCUUGGUUCUGGCAUCGAUGAAGAACGCAGCGAAAUGCGAUAAGUAAUGUGAAUUGCAGAAUUCAGUGAAUCAUCGAAUCUUUGAACGCACAUUGCGCCCGCUGGUAUUCCAGCGGGCAUGCCUGUUCGAGCGUCAUUUCAACCCUCAAGCCCAGCUUGGUGUUGGGACAUUGCCAUCUUCGUCCAUCUUCUGGAUGCACGAGGGCAAGUCCUCAAAUUGAGUGGCGAGCUCGCCAGGACUCCGAGCGUAGUAGUUUUACCACCUCGCUUUGGACGGACUGGCGGUGCCUCAGCCGUAAAACCCCCCAAUUUAUUACCAAAGGUUGACCUCGGAUCAGGUAGGAAUACCCG